rnacentral:rRNA from 1 species
CCUACGGGAGGCAGCAGUGAGGAAUAUUGGUCAAUGGGCGGAAGCCUGAACCAGCCAAGUCGCGUGAGGGAUUAAGGCCCUGCGGGUCGUAAACCUCUUUUGCCGGGGAGCAGAGGUCCGGACGUGUCCGGGCCGGGAGAGUACCCGGAGAAAAAGCAUCGGCUAACUCCGUGCCAGCAGCCGCGGUAAUACGUAGGUGGCGAGCGUUAUCCGGAAUGAUUGGGCGUAAAGGGUGCGCAGGCGGUCCUGCAAGUCUGGAGUGAAACGCAUGAGCUCAACUCAUGCAUGGCUUUGGAAACUGGAGGACUGGAGAGCAGGAGAGGGCGGUGGAACUCCAUGUGUAGCGGUAAAAUGCGUAGAUAUCACGCAGAACUCCGAUUGCGAAGGCAGCAUACCGGCGCCCAACUGACGCUGAAGCACGAAAGCGUGGGUAUCGAACAGGAUUAGAUACCCUUGUAGUC